rnacentral:rRNA from 1 species
GUUUGAUCCUGGCUCAGGACGAACGCUGGCGGCGUGCUUAACACAUGCAAGUCGAACGGUGAUGUCAGAGCUUGCUCUGGCGGAUCAGUGGCGAACGGGUGAGUAACACGUGAGUAACCUGCCCCCGACUCUGGGAUAACUGCUAGAAAUGGUAGCUAAUACCGGAUAUGACGAUUGGCCGCAUGGUCUGGUCGUGGAAAGAAUUUCGGUUGGGGAUGGACUCGCGGCCUAUCAGGUUGUUGGUGAGGUAAUGGCUCACCAAGCCUACGACGGGUAGCCGGCCUGAGAGGGUGACCGGCCACACUGGGACUGAGACACGGCCCAGACUCCUACGGGAGGCAGCAGUGGGGAAUAUUGCACAAUGGGCGAAAGCCUGAUGCAGCAACGCCGCGUGAGGGAUGACGGCCUUCGGGUUGUAAACCUCUUUUAGUAGGGAAGAAGCGAAAGUGAC